rnacentral:rRNA from 1 species
AACGAACGCUGGCGGCAUGCCUAACACAUGCAAGUCGAACGAGACCUUCGGGUCUAGUGGCGCACGGGUGCGUAACGCGUGGGAACCUGCCCUUAGGUUCGGAAUAACUCCCCGAAAGGGGUGCUAAUACCGGAUAAUGUCUUCGGACCAAAGAUUUAUCGCCUUUGGAUGGGCCCGCGUUGGAUUAGCUAGUUGGUAGGGUAAAAGCCUACCAAGGCGACGAUCCAUAGCUGGUCUGAGAGGAUGAUCAGCCACACUGGGACUGAGACACGGCCCAGACUCCUACGGGAGGCAGCAGUGGGGAAUAUUGGACAAUGGGCGAAAGCCUGAUCCAGCAAUGCCGGGUGAGUGAUGAAGGCCUUAGGGUUGUAAAGCUCUUUACCCGGGAUGAUAAUGACAGUACCGGGAGAAUAAGCUCCGGCUAACUCCGUG